AGUGAACGCUGGCGGCAGGCCUAACACAUGCAAGUCGAGCGGCAGCGCGGGGGCAACCCUGGCGGCGAGCGGCGGACGGGUGAGGAAUGCGUCGGAAUCUGCCUCUUUGUGGGGGAUAACGUAGGGAAACUUACGCUAAUACCGCAUACGACCUACGGGUGAAAGUGGGGGACCGCAAGGCCUCACGCAGAGAGAUGAGCCGACGCCGGAUUAGCUAGUUGGCGGGGUAAAGGCCCACCAAGGCGACGAUCCGUAGCUGGUCUGAGAGGAUGAUCAGCCACACUGGAACUGAGACACGGUCCAGACUCCUACGGGAGGCAGCAGUGGGGAAUAUUGGACAAUGGGCGCAAGCCUGAUCCAGCCAUGCCGCGUGUGUGAAGAAGGCCUUCGGGUUGUAAAGCACUUUUGUCCGGAAAGAAAUCCAGUCGAUUAAUACUCGGUUGGGAUGACGGUACCGGAAGAAUAAGCACCGGCUAACUUCGUGCCAGCAGCCGCCGCGG
rnacentral:rRNA from 1 species